UACAGAGGGUGCUAGCGUUAAUCGGAUUUACUGGGCGUAAAGCGUGUGUAGGCGGCUCGUUAAGUCGGGUGUGAAAUCCCUGGGCUCAACCCGGGAAUUGCAUUCGAUACUGGCGAGCUAGAGUACGGUAGAGGGCGGCGGAAUUCCGGGUGUAGCGGUGAAAUGCGUAGAUAUCCGGAGGAACACCGAUGGCGAAGGCAACCGCCUGGGCCUGUACUGACGCUGAGACACGAAAGCGUGGGGAGCAAACAGG
rnacentral:rRNA from 1 species